CUGAUUAUCAAGCUACUUUUAAAUAGUGCUGUAUAGUCACUGUGUUCACAGUGGUUUUUAUAAAAGUGCAUUUUCCCAGCUUUGUCUAUGGAUAUUUUUAGAUAUUUGCCGGAGGAUAAUUUAUGGCUUUGUCUUUUGCAGUUAGUCUUGGGAUACAAACUUAGGAGCUUUUGGUGCACAUAACAAUGACAAUGAAGCAAACAUAAAAUGCAAGAUUAUAGAUUCUUUGCCAUCCUGCAAGGACGCCUGGGUCACAUUACUGAGAAAAGACGAGUGCUGGGAGUUUGAUGUGUGACGCUGGGAUAAACAGACUGUUUGUCAAUCCAUCACCCUGUGGAUACUAAGCAGUCACUGCGUCCAUUGAUCUUCUGAAAAUGACAAAACGGGGGACUAAUAUGAGCGGACGGCCAGCAUGCUCCUCUGUCCCUUUUCUCUCACUGCCUGCGUCUCCCGCACAACUGCCAACAGCUGUGGGCCACUGGGCAUAACAAGCAGGCUGCAGGCAUUGUUGGGAUCAUGUGAAGAAAGCAGUGCACUACACUUCACUCUCCCCCUGCACUCCUGGUAACAUCAGACUUUGCAUCUGAUGUAUCUGUGCAUGAGAGGACAUACAAACAUCUUGUGAACUCAUCCAUUCAAGGUAAAGCAUUUUACUUGCACAGUAUUUUAUUGUGGAAAAAAAGUAUGAAAUUAUCUGCAAUCCAGUUUACACAGAUGCUAUAAAUUCAAUGUAUAUAUU
rnacentral:lncRNA from 1 species